rnacentral:rRNA from 1 species
AUGAACGCUGGCGGCGUGCCUAACACAUGCACGUCGAACGAAGCACCUUACCUGAUUCUUCGGAUGAAAGUUUGGUGACUGAGUGGCGGACGGGUGAGUAACGCGUGGGUAACCUGCCCUGUACAGGGGGAUAACAGCUGGAAACGGCUGCUAAUACCGCAUAAGCGCACGAGGAGACAUCUCCUUGUGUGAAAAACUCCGGUGGUACAGGAUGGGCCCGCGUCUGAUUAGCUGGUUGGCAGGGUAACGGCCUACCAAGGCAACGAUCAGUAGCCGGUCUGAGAGGAUGAACGGCCACAUUGGAACUGAGACACGGUCCAAACUCCUACGGGAGGCAGCAGUGGGGAAUAUUGCACAAUGGGGGAAACCCUGAUGCAGCAACGCCGCGUGAGUGAAGAAGUAUUUCGGUAUGUAAAGCUCUAUCAGCAGGGAAGAUAAUGACGGUACCUGACUAAGAAGCUCCGGCUAAAUACGUG